rnacentral:lncRNA from 1 species
CGCGUUAUCUCGAAUGGCGAUCACCAACCCGUGAAAUUGCUUCGUUCUAAAAGCCAAGUUAAAUUUUUCUAAUUCUUCGUCUUCUUGCAGUGCCCACCACCAACAGGCAGCCGAGGGACAGUCUCACUGAGAAAAUAGAAAAGGCACUUUGCAAGCGAGACUGAUAUCAUACCCACUUAAAUAGACAAUGCUGAACAAAGGAAAACGAAUUGAGUUGACUCGUCUGCGUUUCUUUUGGAAGUAUUACUGAUACGCCACACAUGAGCCUCGACGUUUUGGCGCUUAAUGAAUCAUCGGAAAUCGCUACCUUGCCAUUUCGAAUCAAAUGAACGGCAGAUGCAAUUAGCCGUGUCGGUGUUGCCACAUUUACGCAAAAUUAUAGGACGACAGUAACGUCGUCUGCAAUCAUCAAAAUGAAUGCCAUAUUUUCCCAUAAAAACGGUACGAUCUGUACUGAAUUUUAAACGUUCUUUUAUGACACGCCUUUUUUGAGCACGAAACAUGAGUGCAAUUGAAACAGUUUUACAUACGACGUGGAUUGUUAUGACCGGGGCUCUUAUUAUUGCUUUUCCUGGGACUGUUUUUCCCGGUGUUUAAGCAUAGACGUUAAUAGUUGUCGAAGAAGUGUCUGUUUAGCCAAACCACUGAAACAAACAAAUGGCAGAACUCUAUUCACCAGAGUGUGAAUAACGGAGGACUGCCACAACUUUGGAACGAGAACCCCAACUUUUUGCUGAGGAAAGUCCCCGCUGGUUAUUUUUCGGCAAAUGGAAUAAAGAAUGGCACGAGAAUUUGCAAGAGGGUCUUGUAAAAAAUAAAAGAUCCAUCCACUCUUUCAAGUUUGCAUCAUACCCCUGAAGACUGUUGGCUUCCAUUGACGCGUAGACAUCAGAUUGAACGAUGUCGUCUGUCUUUUGUUCUUCGAAAACCGCCAACAAAGAUGGCGACAGUUCCUAACCUACUCUUUUCGGUCAUUGUUUCAUUCGGUGGGAAACGGCAGAUUGUUACGACAAAUAAAAUGGCUGCUGAUAACCUCAUCUAAGUUGCUAUUGUUUGAGUAGAGCCAAGGUAGAUGAAACUAAGCGUGUUGUAGACGUAACUGCUGUGAGCGGUGAAAGCUACACGGCCAUUGUUGCUCCAAUUUUGCUUUUCAACAAUUCUUACCAAAUAGCUGCAGCCAUUUUAACUGACGUUCAAUUCGUUUCUCAAGAACCGUGUGGAAUUGAAGUAAAAUUCGUUUGAAUUUCGUUUACCUUUUCUUGUGGUGAACAACGUAGCGACUUUCUCCUUCUCGUAAAUCAAUUGUUUUGAAAAAAUAUGUCCCUGUUGGCUGACAUCCUUAUAAAGAUUAUUUUUAAUCUUUUGAUCAUCCAACACCACUUGAUACGACCUCUUUUCGGGUGUAAAAAAGAUAUUGAAAUGAUAAUCAUCUCGAGUCUUUCGUACAUGGAGCAAUGAUAAGUUACACGAUUGCAACAAAAGAAUCCUGGAACGUAUCAUAUGAAGCCGUUUGACUUGCCCGACUUUCUCCUCCCUUACAAGCUGCUUAGUCAUCAAUUAUAUUCGUGAUUUUCAACUACGUGUGGCAAUUGGGGUCCGCAUAACUAUCCUAUAAAACAAAGACCUCGUUACGUGACAAUGAAGCCUACAUCUAUGUGACAGCAGGUGCUCGAUCGUUAAACUGACCCGAUAUAGACAAAGGCAAAAGGUGUGGUUUUUUGUCUAUACAGGCACACGCAGAGUCUAUACAGUCCUGUCCGUUCACGAAUGACCAUUCACGACCUACUUCCAUCCCGGAGUGACCAGCUGCCGAAGAACCAUUUUCGUACACGUUCGUGAAGACGGUUGUGGAUUACGUGCGUGUCCUUCCUGACAUUUUCAGUCUACAUGGAAAGUGUGACCUAAUUGAUGAAAAAUUCGUAAUUUAGAUCCAUUUGAAAGAAAAGACGUGGCUCAUUUUGCCUAUGAUUUCAUUGCUACACUUUCACUGGUAGCCGUACACUUUGGCUUUUUUGUUUUAUUUAGAGGGAAAAAAACUGGUUUUUUUUUUCGAAAAAUAAAGAGAUAUCGGAGUAGACGUCGCUGUGAAGGACAUUCACCGGAAGCGCCUCAAUAUAGGCGCCAUGUCGUAUAGCAAAUGGCACGAAGAAUAGGCAAUCUUUUAUUAUAUAGAGACUGCUGUGUAUACAUAUAGCCAUUGUACGAUUAUGGAAAUGCUGGGCACACGUUCCCUUUCUUUUUUCGAGUCGUAUACGCAAAUGAGGUGA